rnacentral:sRNA from 1 species
ACAGAAGCGAGAGAAGAACGACUUCCUAUCGGUUUUAUACAUCAUGCUCUAGAACUCGUACAAAUCAGGUCUAUCAUGCCUCAGCGCAAUUUUCGGUGGCUGAUCUUUCCCUUGCGGUCCAUGAUCAUGCGUGUGUGAGUGCGCGUGGUCAUGCUUGACUUCGUCUCCUCCUUUACCAACAACGAUAACCUCCUCAUCUCCUCCGAAUCUUACUCGAGCCCGAGGUUUUGACGGUUUCUUAUCCUGGUCGGCUCCUCUUGGUUUAUCAUCGACUCUUGCCCGGGAUGUGGAGGCAAGAGCCGACUGAGAGGGUUCGAUACCACUAGAAGGUACUGUCAGUGUAGGAUGAGAGUGUGUGUGCGAGUGCGUCGCGUCAGCUCCGUCCAAAGCUUCUCUCACAUCUCCUCCAGUCCGUCUCUCCCCCACACCUCCUUCCACACCCAGAUGGACCGUCUCCACCACAAACCGUUUCCUCUUCAGUCUGAACCCAAGAUUAUUUUCGCCCGCACCGCCACCGCCGCCUGAAGAUGACGCCGACGUUGAUGAUUGGGAAACGCCGAGUAAAGUAGAGUGUUUCAAGGUAGAAGGAAGAAGCGCGUGGGUGGUUGGAUAGGAGUGGAGGGUGAGAAGACCGUGGGUUGGGAAGAGGGGUGGUAAUCGAACCCCUUGAGUUCAACACAUGCGUCCACACCCCAUGAUAGACGCUUUACAAUACUUUCUCUUUCACUACCCAUCGAAAGGAUGAGACUCGCCGGAAGCGUUAUCAGAGCUGAAGCUGGCUUGAUCUUCAACAGCUCACGAACAGAAUGAAUAAAUCGAUGUAUUUCCUGAAACCGGAUACGAGGACAUCAGCCACAUUCAUCUGUUCUCGAGAACAGACUCACGUUCAUGGAAAUGUUCCCCCAAUCAAGACUUCCCAGCUCAUGCACAGCCAGCCUCGUCGCUCUGCCUUUAUCGGCAUGCUCCAACUUCUCCCACACACCUUUCAACACUUCAUCCAGAACACAUGAUCGAGAAGUACUCGGCUCAUCAGAGUUGAUGGCCACGUAUGACAUUUGACCAGACUCUUGCAUCAUGGAAAGGGCUUCCGAUGGGAUGGUAGUCAUAAGA